rnacentral:rRNA from 1 species
AGCAGCCGCGGUAAUUCCAGCUCCAAUAGCGUAUAUUAAAGUUGUUGCAGUUAAAAAGCUCGUAGUUGAAUUUCGGGAUCAAUAUGUCGGUCGUGCCUUCGGUACGUACUGGUAUCAUUGGUCUCUCCUUUCUGACGAACCAUGAUGUCAUUAAUUUGGUGUUAUGGGGAGUUAGGACUGUUACUUUGAAAAAAUUAGAGUGUUUAAAGCAGGCUUUAGCUUGAAUACAUUAGCAUGGAAUAAUGAAAUAGGACGUUCGAACCUAUUUUGUUGGUUUCUAGGAUCAACGUAAUGAUUAAUAGGGAUAGUUGGGGGCAUUAGUAUUCAAUUGUCAGAGGUGAAAUUCUUGGAUUUAUUGAAGACUAACUACUGCGAAAGCAUUUGCCAAGGAUGUUUUCAUUAAUCAAGAACGAAAGUUAGGGGAUCGAAGGCGAUCAGAUACCGUCGUAGUCUUAACCAUAAACUAUGCCGACUAGGGAUCGGAUGAUGUUAAUUUUUUAAUGACUCA